GCAGCGAUCGUGAACUUGGUCGCGCGAUGAACCAUGCUCUCGGAGUCAGUAGAGGACGACCGAGUCUGCAUGCGUGACUUACGAACAUCUUGAUGGACGUGCGGCGAUAGAAGCAUUCAAGCUGUCAGAUAAAAUACUGCCGAACGAGACCAUGCCAGUCCUCACCAUUCUCAUUCUCCUGCAAGCCCCGUGGCUAGCGACAUCCACUUGGCCCCAGUCCGUGGGGUCGACCGAACAGCCACCACACGUACCCGGGCCCUUCCGCAUCGGCGACUUCACCGACCCUGAGACUGGCCUCAACCCAUUCAUAGACGUUCCGGAAGGCAUCAACCGAUCGCCACGACCUCCGCUCCGCUUCGCGUCCGUUCGCCCUGCGCCGCCGCGUCGAUAUCCAGACAUUCCAGUCCCCGUCGAAGGAGAGGUCAUCCACCGUCCACGCUUCGGCUCUAUCCCCAUUCGAGGAGACGUUUCGGGUAUCUUACCACGCACACCACCUGCAGGCUUUGUACCACGACAGAGAGGAAGAGUUUUCAAGUCAACCACAACGUCACCUAAGCCCGCUUCGUCGCCGCCAGAAACAGCUGAAGAGUUCGAAGAGGACGCUGGAAGCGAGCCUCUCUCCGAGGGUACCAUAUGGACGCUGGUGCUCUGCGGUGUUCUGCUCUUCUGCGCUUUGGUUUUUUUCGCUACUUUACUGACGGUGUGCAUGUACAAACAGCGUCGGACAAGGGUGGUAAUGAGCAAGGCACGCUUUAUAGAAGAAGGGAGGUUGCAGACAAGAGGAAACAGGACUGUCCGAAAGGACCGAGUCAAGCAGCAAGUGAAGGGCUGAGGGACGACCUCAUCGAGUCGAAUCCUACUGCGACAGUGUUGCAGAGCUACAGGCAUUACGUUGCUGAAAGGCGAUCUAGUCGUUUUUGAGAAAAGAAAGUACGAGGAAAAGGAGGAAGUAUAGGUGCUGCAAGUACCUUACAUGGACGUUAGGAGAGUCACAGGUGUGGACAAGAACUCGAGUUUUUAACUGGAUGUCUACAUUAGACAUACGCAAGAUGACCAUAUAACCACCGACUAGUGCCUGUACAAAGAACAGCCUUUACAUCAGCCCCGUUUAUCUUGAUGACCCCUAUGGUAAUUCGGUCGGAAUAGUGUGACUGUUUUAUGUGACAGAAGAUGGUGUACUGUGCCAAACGCCCCUUCCUUUGGGCCCUGUCCGCGGAACGUUCUCUCUGUGUUGACGCCAAAGACACGUGCAAUGGGCUACCGGAUGGUGCUUUUUUUUUUUUUUUUUUUCAGCAGGUCUCUGAACAGGAACCCUCCUGCACCGUGCAUGUACAGUCCUACUGUUUCGCACUGAACACUGUUUGGGGAUGAUAUACUUUAGGUGCAGUUCAGAGAUAAAUCGUGGGUCACUCGA